AGCAUAUCGCAUUACAACUCUGUCACAUCCCACUGUUGAUGACAUCGCUCUUUCUGUAUUUACUGCCUCAUUGGCUCUAACGGCUGUUUAGUUGUUAUUUUUAUAAGUGCUGGCACAUUAAUAAAGCUGCUGAGGGUGAACUGGCAGGAUUGGAUUUCAGAAGCAGAAUAAAGAGUGUGCUGGUGUUACUGGUAAUCAAGAAGGCAUUGUCACCAACAAGUGCUGAUGACAGCUCAUCUGUGACAUGAUUCUGGUGACCGAGAGGUUUAAGGUUCUAUGAAUGUGAAAUCCUGGAAAGCUGUCCUCUAGGAGCCUGAAGCUUUGGUUCUGAAGUCAUCAAUUAUCAUCCUGUGAGGAACACAUGAACGGUACAGAUGGCGCACAUUUGGAGAACAAUUGUCUUUUUAUUACCCGUACUUCAUGCCCAAGGUGAGUGAUGAAUGUAAUUAUAUCAAAACGUAUCUGCUAAGCGGCUAUGGGUAUCUGGCGCCUGAGGAGCUCCAUAGGCGGCUAACCCAAUGCAGGCAUUGCAGGUGACCUCAAAACACACGGUAGCACUGAUGAUGAAUCACAACCUGGACGGCCAUUUAUGUCAUUCCUGAGGGUGUCCGCUCUUGUAGGAAGAGGUCAUCAUGUAGCGGUGCUACUGAGGAUUGAAACUUCAGCUCCCAGCAGUCCCUGCAGUGGCUCUGAUUGGUCGUCUGCUGAGCGUGCAGGGGCUGCUGGGGACAAGGAGGCCAGCGUGAUAUUUAAAAGGUGGCCAGUUCUACAGAGAGGAGGAAGUCCUUUGUGUUUCGUGUCUGGAGUGACCUGUCUUUUUGCCUUCCCGUUUUACUACCCGUGGAUUCUUGUUUUGUCCUCAAUCGUCUCCUGGUUUGGGUGUAUGGACUGUCU